rnacentral:rRNA from 1 species
CCUACGGGAGGCAGCAGUGGGGAAGUAUUGGACAAUGGGCGAAAGCCUGAUCCAGCAAUUCCGCGUGUGUGAAGAAGGCCUUCGGGUUGUAAAGCACUUUAGUGGGGGAAGAAACAGCUUGGCCACACCAAGCCUUGACGGUACCCCAAGAAUAAGCACCGGCUAACUCUGUGCCAGCAGCCGCGGUAAUACAGAGGGUGCAAGCGUUAAUCGGAUUUACUGGGCGUAAAGGGUGCGUAGGUGGCUAUUUAAGUCGGAUGUGAAAGCCCGGGGCUCAACCUCGGAAUUGCAUUCGAUACUGAGUGGCUAGAGUUCGGUAGAGGGCGGCGGAAUUUCCGGUGUAGCGGUGAAAUGCGUAGAUAUCGGAAGGAACAUCAAUGGCGAAGGCAGCCGCCUGGGCCUGGACUGACACUGAGGCACGAAAGCGUGGGUAGCAAACAGGAUUAGAUACCCUGGUAGUCCACGCCGUAAACGAUGAGACUGACGUUGUUCGUUUACGAUCGGUGUCGCGNGCUACGACGAUAAGUUCGUCCGUCCGUCGGGUAGGUACGGCCGGCCGAGGUUAGGUAACGUACGUAAAGGUAAGUUAGUUACGGCGUGAGACGUGCGACGGCGACGACGAGGGAGGAGG